rnacentral:rRNA from 1 species
UACGAAGGGGGCUAGCGUUGUUCGGAAUUACUGGGCGUAAAGCGCACGUAGGCGGAUUUGUAAGUCAGGGGUGAAAUCCCGGGGCUCAACCUCGGAACUGCCUUUGAUACUGCAAGUCUCGAGUCCGAUAGAGGUGAGUGGAAUUCCUAGUGUAGAGGUGAAAUUCGUAGAUAUCAGGAGGAACACCAGUGGCGAAGGCGGCUUUCUGGACGGUAACUGACGCUGAGACGCGAAAGCGUGGGGAGCAAACAGG